UUAAUUUGGGAAUUCUGCGACAGUUAAGUGAACCGUUGCAAUGUUUUGGCUUUUGUAACAAAGAAAAAAAAAACACGAUUUAUCAAACCCUUCAUUCUCUCUCUUCACUCACGAAAAUCUAUACUCUCUCUCUAUAUUCACUCUCACAACUCACAAGCCUUCAUUCUCAAAACCCUAAUCGAAUCCCUCUCACUCUCACGGAAAUCAUUCUUGAACCCUAAUCUGUAAGCUUAUUCUCGAAUCCCUCUCACUCUCAUGAAGCCUCAAGAACCCUAAUCUGUAAGAAGAAGAAGAAGCAUGCUUUGUUCCCGUGAGAAGAAGAAACAUAAAGGGUAUAUGGAGAGAUCGAAUAGUAUGGAGAAAGUGAAACGAAGCUUAGAUUGUAAUGGUUCUAGGGUGUGAUUUUUAUUUUUGAAAAGUUUUGAUUUUUUUGAGGUUUUGGAUGUGUACACUGCGAAAUUUUUAUUUUUUGUUAUCUGGGUUGUUGCAUGUGUUGGAAAAGAUAGGAUUUUGUUUGUUAACUUAAUUUGUUUUAUAGAUUGUGUACUUGUGUGUUGGAAUAGAGAUUUUUGUAUGUUAAUUUUGUUUGUUUUUCUUUGUUUUAUGGAUUAUGGAUUUGAGGUGCAUGUGGAUAAUGAUGAUGGGAAGCUUGAAGAAAGUGGAGUUGAUAGAAGCAGUUCUGCUUUGUUUUCACCUAAGCAGAUUUCCAACCCAGUUUUGUACAAACUUGUUCAGAGGUAAAAAGGCAUGUGGUUUCUUUUUUGAAUGAGGCAAAGGAAAGACAAGGAUUAGAUAUGCGAGUUUCUUCUCUGUAUGGCUGGCUUGCUGAGGGUUCAUUGUCUAUUGGGUGAUUAUCAUAUUGGUCUUAAGUGCUUGCAACCUAUUGAUAUUAGUCAGCCAGGUGUUUACACCAUUGUCAUUGAUAUUGGUCAGCCAGUUUGAGAGUAAACCUAACAUGAGCGCAAUCGCUUGGUAGGAGGUGGUCAAAAAUCUUCGGUCGUCAUCCUCUCUAAAAGAUUUAUUCUCUUCCUUCAAGUUCAAUGGAAUGUUAAAGUUCAAGUCUGAUAGGUUGUUCUUAGAAGUUCAGAGGCUAAAGAAUAUGCAUACUGGAGUUAAGAACUUGGAUGGUUCUUUGUGAAAUCCUACUGGUUUUUUCAAGUAUGCCCUUUACUUUCCAAGCAUGGUUUGACCAUAGAGGUAACCGAAUAAGAAGAGUCAAGCGAUGAUAGGCGUUUCUGAGUCUAGUUAACACUAAUUAAGGAUUAUGAAGCAACAUCACAUACUAGGGAUAUUUAGAUACUUUUUGAACUUAUUUUGACGUAAUGUUAUGUUUAGCCACUCUACUAAUAUAUUUAUGUUUUAAUUUUUGAAUGUUUGAACUACAUUAGUUUCUUUCGUUUGGAACUUCAAGUACUUGAAUUAAAUUUUUGAUGUAUGGAUUUUGUCAUUAUUGAAUGAAUUAUAUAAAUGAGAUUAAGUUAUUUAU